GAGUAACGCGUGGGUAACCUACCCUGUACACACGGAUAACAUACUGAAAGGUAUGCUAAUACGGGAUAAUAUAUUUGAGAGGCAUCUCUUGAAUAUCAAAGGUGAGCCAGUACAGGAUGGACCCGCGUCUGAUUAGCUAGUUGGUAAGGUAACGGCUUACCAAGGCAACGAUCAGUAGCCGACCUGAGAGGGUGAUCGGCCACAUUGGAACUGAGACACGGUCCAAACUCCUACGGGAGGCAGCAGUGGGGAAUAUUGCACAAUGGGCGAAAGCCGGAUGCAGCAACGCCGCGUGAGUGAUGAAGGCCUUCGGGUC
rnacentral:rRNA from 1 species